AUUGAACGCUGGCGGCAGGCCUAACACAUGCAAGUCGAACGAGUGGCGGACGGGUGAGUAAUGUCUGGGAAACUGCCUGAUGGAGGGGGAUAACCACUGGAAACGGUAGCUAAUACCGCAUACCAUCGGAUGUGCCCACCUGGGUUUAGCUAGUAGGUGGGGUAAAGGCUCACCUAGGCGACGAUCCCUAGCUGGUCUGAGAGGAUGACCAGCCACACUGGAACUGAGACACGGUCCAGACUCCUACGGGAGGCAGCAGUGGGGAAUAUUGCACAAUGGGCGCAAGCCUGAGGCAGCCAUGCCGCGUGUGUGAAGAAGGCCUGCGGGUUGUAAAGCACUGUCAGCGAGGAGGCGUUACUCGCAGAAGAAGCACCGGCUAACUCCGUGCCAGCAGCCGCGGUAAUAC
rnacentral:rRNA from 1 species